GUUCUCAGCCCAGCAGCUCCUAUGUUAAAAUAGGAACACUACAGAGAAGAUUAGCAUGUCCCCUGUAUCCAAAGUACAAUGUGAUUUGAGGAGCAAGUGUUG
ensembl:snRNA U6 U6 spliceosomal RNA